CAGAAGAUAGUUUAUAUUAAAACUCAAGCUUUGGGUGCUUAAAAUGUGGUCUACCACUCUUCUGA
rnacentral:tRNA from 1 species